CCUACGGGUCGCAGCAGUGGGGGAUAUUGCACAAUGGGGGAAACCCUGAUGCAGCGACGCCGCGUGAGUGAAGAAGUAUUUCGGUAUGUACAGCUCUAUCAGCAGGGAAGACACAAGCCGGUACUUGCCUAAGAAGCCCCGGCUAACGACGGGCCAGCAGCCGCGGUAUUACGUAGGGGGCAAGCGUUAUCCGGAUUUACUGGGUGUAAAGGGAGCGUAGCUGGCAAUACAAGUCGGAAGUGAAAGACCCGGGCUCAACCUGGGAACUGCUUUGGAAACUGUAUGGCUAGAGUGCGGGAGAGGGAAGCGGAAUGCCUAGUGUAGCGGUGAAAUGCGUAGAUAUUAGGAGGAACACCAGUGGCGAAGGCGGCUUACUGGACAGUAACUGACGUUGAGGCUCGAAAGCGUGGGGAGCAAACAGGAUUAGAUACCCCAGUAGUC
rnacentral:rRNA from 1 species